rnacentral:rRNA from 1 species
UACGUAGGUGGCAAGCGUUGUCCGGAUUUACUGGGCGUAAAGAGCGCGCAGGCGGUCGUUCAAGUCGCGUGUGAAAGCCCCCGGCUCAACUGGGGAGGGUCACGCGAUACUGAUCGACUCGAAGGCAGGAGAGGGUAGUGGAAUUCCCGGUGUAGUGGUGAAAUGCGUAGAGUAUCGGGAGGAACACCAGUGGCGAAGGCGACUACCUGCCUGUUCUUGACGCUGAGGCGCGAAAGCUAGGGGAGCAACG